rnacentral:rRNA from 1 species
ACAGACAGCCAGGAUGUUGGCUUAGAAGCAGCCAUCAUUUAAAGAAAGCGUAAUAGCUCACUGGUCGAGUCGGCCUGCGCGGAAGAUGUAACGGGGCUAAACCAUGCACCGAAGCUGCGGCAGCGACGCUUAUGCGUUGUUGGGUAGGGGAGCGUUCUGUAAGCCGUUGAAGGUGUGCUGUGAGGCAUGCUGGAGGUAUCAGAAGUGCGAAUGCUGACAUAAGUAACGAUAAAGCGGGUGAAAAGCCCGCUCGCCGGAAGACCAAGGGUUCCUGUCCAACGUUAAUCGGGGCAGGGUGAGUCGACCCCUAAGGCGAGGCCGAAAGGCGUAGUCGAUGGGAAACAGGUUAAUAUUCCUGUACUUGGUGUUACUGCGAAGGGGGGACGGAGAAGGCUAUGUUAGCCGGGCGACGGUUGUCCCGGUUUAAGCAUGUAGGCGGAACGACCAGGUAAAUCCGGUCGUUUUUUAACGCUGAGGUGUGAUGACGAGGCACUACGGUGCUGAAGUAACAAAUGCCCUGCUUCCAGGAAAAGCCUCUAAGCAUCAGGUAACAUCAAAUCGUACCCCAAACCGACACAGGUGGUCAGGUAGAGAAUACCAAGGCGCUUGAGAGAACUCGGGUGAAGGAACUAGGCAAAAUGGUGCCGUAACUUCGGGAGAAGGCACGCUGAUAUGUAGGUGA